GGGAGGCAGCAGUAGGGAAUUUUCCGCAAUGGACGCAAGUCUGACGGAGCAACGCCGCGUGAGUGAAGAAGGUUUUCGGAUCGUAAAACUCUGUUGUUAGAGAAGAACAAGUGCUAGAGUAACUGUUAGCGCCUUGACGGUAUCUAACCAGGAAGCCACGGCUAACUACGUGCCAGCAGCCGCGGUAAUACGUAGGUGGCAAGCGUUGUCCGGAUUUAUUGGGCGUAAAGCGAGCGCAGGCGGUUCCUUAAGUCUGAUGUGAAAGCCCCCGGCUCAACCGGGGAGGGUCAUUGGAAACUGGGGAACUUGAGUGCAGAAGAGGAGAGUGGAAUUCCAUGUGUAGCGGUGAAAUGCGUAGAUAUAUGGAGGAACACCAGUGGCGAAGGCGACUCUCUGGUCUGUAACUGACGCUGAGGCUCGAAAGCGUGGGUAGCAAACAGGAUUAGAUACCCUGGUAGUCCACGCCGUAAACGAUCCCUGAAAGGUGUUGGAGGGUUUCCGCCCUUUCAGGAUGCAGUUAAUGCAUUAAGCACUUCCGCCUGGGGAGUGCGACCGCAAGGUUGAAACUCAAAGGAAAUUGACGGGGACCCGCACAAGCGGUGGAGCAUGUGGUUUAAUUUGAAGCAACGCGAAGAACCUUACCAAGUCUUGACAUCCUUUGACCACUCUAGAGAUAGAGCUUUCCCUUCGGGGACAAAGUGACAGGUGGUGCAUGGUUGUCGUCAGCUCGUGUCGUGAGAUGUUGGGUUAAGUCCCGCAACGAGCGCAACCCUUAUUACUAGUUGCCAGCAUUCGGUUGGGCACUCUAGUGAGACUGCCGGUGACAAACCGGAGGAAGGUGGGGAUGACGUCAAAUCAUCAUGCCCCUUAUGACUUGGGCUACACACGUGCUACAAUGGAUGGUACAACGAGCAGCGAACUCGCGAGGGUAAGCGAAUCUCUUAAAGCCAUUCUCAGUUCGGAUUGUAGGCUGCAACUCGCCUACAUGAAGCCGGAAUCGCUAGUAAUCGCGGAUCAGCACGCCGCGGUGAAUACGUUCCCGGGUCUUGUACACACCGCCCGUCA
rnacentral:rRNA from 1 species